rnacentral:rRNA from 1 species
GACCUGCGGAAGGAUCAUUAUUGAAUUUUAAAAUGAGUGGGGUUGUUGCUGGCCUAUAAUGGGCAUGUGCACGCCUCAUUUUAUCCAACCUUUACCCCACCUGUGCACUUUCUCAUGGGCUGGAUAUUUGCAAAGUUGUUCUUAAUUGAGCAAUGGAAGUGAUGUUUAUCCCAUGUGUUUUUAAUACAAUAUACAUAUUUGUUAUAGAAUGUAAACAUGCAGUGCAUUCAAUGCAUAUAAUAUAACUUUCAGCAACGGAUCUCUUGGCUCUCGCAUCGAUGAAGAACGCAGCGAAAUGCGAUAAGUAAUGUGAAUUGCAGAAUUCAGUGAAUCAUCGAAUCUUUGAACGCACCUUGCGCUCCUUGGUAUUCCGAGGAGCAUGCCUGUUUGAGUGUCAUGGUAAUUCUCACUUCAUUUAUGUUUUUGCAUAUUUUGAAGUGGAUGUGGAGGGUUGUGCUGGCAUCUUGCAAAUGGUUUUUCUGUUUUCAAGAAAAUCUGGCUCCUCUGAAAUGCAUUAGCUUGAAUGUUGACCAAGCGUGAUAUCUCAGCGUGAUAAUUUGUCUGCGUUGUGAAUGUGUUGGUCUAUAUGUUAAAAUAUAGCAUUUAAGCUUCCAAUGGUCUUUUUUUAUUAAGACAGCAAUCAUAACUGAUAAUAGUUUAUGAACAUUUGACCUCAAAUCAGGUAGGACUACCCGCUGAACUUAAGCAUAUCAA